AUUGAACGCUGGCGGCAUGCCUUACACAUGCAAGUCGAACGGCAGCACGGGUGCUUGCACCUGGUGGCGAGUGGCGAACGGGUGAGUAAUACAUCGGAACAUGUCCUGUAGUGGGGAAUAGCCCGGCGAAAGCCGGAUUAAUACCGCAUACGAUCUACGGAUGAAAGCGGGGGACCUUCGGGCCUCGCGCUAUAGGGUUGGCCGAUGGCUGAUUAGCUAGUUGGUGGGGUAAAGGCCUACCAAGGCGACGAUCAGUAGCUGGUCUGAGAGGACGACCAGCCACACUGGGACUGAGACACGGCCCAGACUCCUAUGGGAGGCAGCAGUGGGGAAUUUUGGACAAUGGGCGAAAGCCUGAUCCAGCAAUGCCGCGUGUGUGAAGAAGGCCUUCGGGUUGUAAAGCACUUUUGUCCGGAAAGAAAUCCUUGGCCCUAAUACGGUCGGGGGAUGACGGUACCGGAAGAAUAAGCACCGGCUAACUACGUG
rnacentral:rRNA from 1 species